CUUUGUUGAACAUUAGGACUUGAUUGCCGCUGAUCGUGGCAGAGUUAAAACAACUAUCUCUCAUAUGCAUUCUUAUUCACAAAUGUUUCUUUCACCUUACGGCUACACCACCGAUUUACCUGCGGAAUAUCCUGAGAUGUUCCGUGCCAUGGAAAUCGCUGUGAAUGCGUUAACAUCCACGUACGGGACACCCUAUACCUACGGAAAUACCGCUGUUACCAUUUACAUCGUGAGUUACAGUGGCAUCUGGUGACACCACGGAUCAUUACUACGAGAACGAAGGGGUUGUUUAUUCAUACACUAUAGAACUUCGAGACUCGGGUACUUAUGGUUUCCAAUUACCGCCCGAUCAAAUUGUUCCAACGGCCACCGAAACCUGGAAUGGAUUGAAAGCAAUGAUCAAUGCUAUUUGAGUGUCGUUUGUAACGUCUUCCCCAUUAGUUAACGCAAAAUAAAACGAAAUGCCCCUUUGCGAAAAAAGUCUAUAAAAAAUAAAAAUAGAUUUAUUACUCUAUAUAAAAAAUGAUAAAUAAGCCGAUAUAA
rnacentral:lncRNA from 1 species